AAGAAGAAGAAGAAGAUGCACGAAGGCGGCGUUUUUUUUUUGUUUUGUUUUGUUUUUUCCCGGGAAUUAUUGUAUAAAUUGUAUUAUUGUUUUGUGAGCCAUGGGACCUGUAGCACCCAGAAAUUCGAAUUCACAAAACAGAACAAAGAGGACACAUGGGGACAUUUACUUCAGACAUACAGAAAAUAAGAAGCAAAGCCUAUUAUCAUGCGCUCGCACAUUAAUUGGAUGGAGAUCACCGAGCCUCCAAAACUGCUGGUGAAACUUGAAUUUUCACGCCCUCUUCAUAAACCAGGCAACAAAUUUACUCUCUGGAGUCAACAGUAAUCUGUGUGUGUUAUUCAGAUUCUGAUCCAAAAAGGUACUACAGGGCAUCUCUUUCCUGCAGAAAAAGAAAUUCAAAGAGAAUUCUGAUUAACACGUCUUAAAACAUGGCACGAGCUUGUAUCCCAUGUAGUCAUGUCUUUUUAUCCAGAAGGUCGUGGUGAUGGUAUAACAUUUCCUACAACAGUGAAAUGUCAGGCAUACUUUAGAGGCUCAAAUGGUUACAACAAAAGAGGUCCAUGCUUCAUGUCACCAGCUGUUUCAUCUAAAAGACCCUGGUAAAGGGGAUCAUCCCUAUGGGUACUGUGCUGAGACAGAGUGCUUGAGCAAACUACUAUUCCAGGCAUAGAAGACGAAACAGUGAUGGAAAAUCACACUAAGGAAAACUUACAGAAUCUCAGACCUUUAACAACAGCACGCUUGAUAGAGCAGCUUCAGAAGGCUGGCAUUCCAAUGAAUGACGAGAACAUUCUCUUCUACCGCCCAAUGCAGUGACUUUUAGCCGUGUGAAGAUGUCAGCUGUGAUCUUUGUGCCCUGUCCGGUACCUUUGGGCUGUCAAAAAAGGACGUGUGGCGGCUCAACUGCACCGGUUCACCCGGGAGCAAAACCUGCAUAAAGCAGAGAAACACAUCAAGCAAGGUGUGAAUGUGGACUGCGUGAAUCAUCUGGGCCAGACAUGUCUUUUCUGCUCGUCCCUGCUAGGCUUCACCGAUGUGGUCGAGCUGCUUCUUCAGCAUGGAGCUGAUCCCAAUCAGAAAGAGACAAGAGGCAAAGAUGACAAAAUCCACAUCAAUGGGAUGGCUGUUGAGCACUGUUGAGUUUCAAGUUCCUGGGGAUCCACAUCUCGGAGGACCUGUCCUGGUCUACCAACACCUCCAGCCUGGUCAAGAAGGCUCACCAGCACCUCUUUUUCCUGAGGACACUACCAUUGUAGUGUCCUCAGGAAAUCUCUAUUACCAUUGUAUAUAUCCACCUGAUUUCUGCUUAUAGUAAUAUCCAUAUAUUAUGUUCAUAGUAAAUAUCCUCCUGUAUAUUUCUGUUUAUAGUUAUAGCCAUAUAUUUUGUUUAUAGCACAUAUCCUUCUGUAUAUUUCUGUUUAUAGUUAUCGCCAUCUGUAUAUUAUGUUAAUAGUACAUAUACAUCUGUAAAUUACUUCUAUAAUUCCCAUUUUAUUUAACUUAUUUAA